rnacentral:rRNA from 1 species
GUGGGGAAUAUUGGACAAUGGGCGAAAGCCUGAUCCAGCCAUGCCGCGUGUGUGAAGAAGGUCUUCGGAUUGUAAAGCACUUUAAGUUGGGAGGAAGGGUUGUAGAUUAAUACUCUGCAAUUUUGACGUUACCGACAGAAUAAGCACCGGCUAACUUCGUGCCAGCAGCCGCGGUAAUACGAAGGGUGCAAGCGUUAAUCGGAAUUACUGGGCGUAAAGCGCGCGUAGGUGGUUCGUUAAGUUGGAUGUGAAAGCCCCGGGCUCAACCUGGGAACUGCUUUCAAAACUGCUGAGAUAGAGUACGGUAGAGGGUGGUGGAAUUUCCUGUGUAGCGGUGAAAAGCGUAGAUAUAGGAAGGAACACCAGUGGCGAAGGCGACCACCUGGACUGAUACUGACACUGAGGUGCGAAAGCGUGGGGAGCAAACAGGAUUAGAAACCCCUGUAGUCC